UCCAUGGUCUGUCUGUGUGAUAUUCUCCAUGGUCAGUCUGUGUGAUAUUCUCCAUGGUCAGUCUGUGUGAUAUUCUCCAUGGUCAGUCUGUGUGAUAUUCUCCAUGGUCAGUCUGUGUGAUAUUCUCCAUGGUCAGUCUGUGUGAUAUUCUCCAUGGUCAGUCUGUGUGAUAUUCUCCAUGGUCAGUCUGUGUGAUAUUCUCCAUGGUCAGUCUGUGAUAUUCUCCAUGGUCAGUCUGUGUGAUAUUCUCCAUGGUCAGUCUGUGUGAUAUUCUCCAUGGUCAGUCUGUGUGAUAUUCUCCAUGGUCAGUCUGUGUGAUAUUCUCCAUGGUCAGUCUGUGUGAUAUUCUCCAUGGUCAGUCUGUGUGAUAGUCUCCAUGGAGAAUAUCACACAGACUGACCAUGGAGAAUAUCACACAGACUGACCAUGGAGACCAUCACACAGACUGACCAUGGAGAAUAUCACACAGAC